UACGGAGGGUGCGAGCGUUGUCCGGAAUCACUGGGCGUAAAGGGCGCGUAGGCGGUCUGCUAAGCGUGUGGUGAAAGCUCGGGGCUCAACCCCGAGUCGGCCAUGCGAACUGGUGGACUAGAGCACUGUAGAGGCAGGUGGAAUUCCGGGUGUAGCGGUGGAAUGCGUAGAGAUCCGGAAGAACACCGGUGGCGAAGGCGGCCUGCUGGGCAGUAGCUGACGCUGAGGCGCGACAGCGUGGGGAGCAAACAGG
rnacentral:rRNA from 1 species